AACGGGUUCGUUUUCCAUUUACAUUUUUCGCCAAAACCCUAGCAUUUGCCUCAACACAUUUUUAUCGCCUCACACUCUCUGUUUUCACUUAGUUUUUGAUUCUUCACUUUCAUUAUUUCAAACUCUCGCAGUGAUGAGACCUGCAAGAGGCCGUGAUGGUGGUGGGUUUAGGGGCAGAGGUAAUGGUGGAAGAGGGAGAGGAAGAGGAGGUGGUGGAAGAGGUGGUGAUAGGGGUGGUAAUGCCAUGAAAUCCCGCGACGGUGGCUGUUGUCUGAGCAAAGAACGCAGGAGAUACUUUGUAUCAUUCAACCUUCUUUGGUUUUUGAACAAAAUCGACAAAAUAUUAUUGCUUACUUUCAGAGGCUAAUCAAAGGUUACUAUGGGAAUGAGGUUAAAAUAGUGAAAUGCACUGUGAAUGACAUACCGGUGGACAUCUCUUUCAAUCAAACGGCUGGUCUAUCUGCACUUUGCUUUCUGGAGAAGGUUUGAGUUUUUGGUGGAUGCAUAGUCCAGGAUUAGCUGAAUUCAUGCAUAGUGACGACUUGUUUAAGCUAACUGCUUAUCUUAAAGUGUGCAUUCUAUCAUUAUUUUGUUCUAUUUGUAUUUUGUUAGAUUUCUGGUGUAGUAUGAUAAGUGCGGUAUUUUGUUUGGCGGGAUGUAUUUAUAUCAUAGAUUAUUAUUCUUUUCAAUAUUUUGAUAAUGAAUUUUAAUUUUUUUUAUA